CGCUGGCGGCGUGCUUAACACAUGCAAGUCGAACGAUGACUUUUGUGCUUGCACAGAAUGAUUAGUGGCGAACGGGUGAGUAACACGUGAGUAACCUGCCCCUGACUCUGGGAUAAGCCUGGGAAACUGGGUCUAAUACUGGAUAUGCACCGUAGACCGCAUGGUUUUUGGUGGAAAGAAUUUUGGUCAGGGAUGGACUCGCGGCCUAUCAGCUUGUUGGUGAGGUAAUGGCUCACCAAGGCGACGACGGGUAGCCGGCCUGAGAGGGUGACCGGCCACACUGGGACUGAGACACGGCCCAGACUCCUACGGGAGGCAGCAGUGGGGAAUAUUGCACAAUGGGCGAAAGCCUGAUGCAGCGACGCCGCGUGAGGGAUGACGGCCUUCGGGUUGUAAACCUCUUUCAGUAGGGAAGAAGCGAAAGUGACGGUACCUGCAGAAGAAGCGCCGGCUAACUACGUGCCAGCAGCCGCGGUAAUACGUAGGGCGCAAGCGUUAUCCGGAAUUAUUGGGCGUAAAGAGCUCGUAGGCGGUUUGUCGCGUCUGCCGUGAAAGUCCGAGGCUCAACUUCGGAUCUGCGGUGGGUACGGGCAGACUAGAGUGAUGUAGGGGAGACUGGAAUUCCUGGUGUAGCGGUGAAAUGCGCAGAUAUCAGGAGGAACACCGAUGGCGAAGGCAGGUCUCUGGGCAUCUACUGACGCUGAGGAGCGAAAGCAUGGGGAGCGAACAGGAUUAGAUACCCUGGUAGUCCAUGCCGUAAACGUUGGGCACUAGGUGUGGGGGACAUUCCACGUUUUCCGCGCCGUAGCUAACGCAUUAAGUGCCCCGCCUGGGGAGUACGGCCGCAAGGCUAAAACUCAAAGGAAUUGACGGGGGCCCGCACAAGCGGCGGAGCAUGCGGAUUAAUUCGAUGCAACGCGAAGAACCUUACCAAGGCUUGACAUGUGCUAGAUCGCCAUAGAAAUAUGGUUUCCCCUUUGGGGCUGGUUCACAGGUGGUGCAUGGUUGUCGUCAGCUCGUGUCGUGAGAUGUUGGGUUAAGUCCCGCAACGAGCGCAACC
rnacentral:rRNA from 1 species